CUGGGGGCAGUGUCACACACUGUUUUAUGACGUAAGCCUCACGGUCUGUGUUCUUUCCCCAG
ensembl:miRNA Mir6897 microRNA 6897